rnacentral:rRNA from 1 species
UUUGGUGCUGUCUAAGACUAAGCCAUGCACGUCUAAGUACAAACUAAAUGAUGGUGAAACUGCAAAUGGCUCAUUACAACGGUUAUGAUGUACCCGGGAGUUCCGAUGGAUAUUUCCAGUAACACUAGAACUAAUACAUGUCCCUGCGUUUAUUAGUUUCGCACAGUCCGUCGCUGAGUCAUGGUAAACAGUUGAUCGACUCGACGUCCCGGAACAGUUUCCGCCCCAUCAGCUUCGAUGGUUGGGUAUUGGCCUACCAUUGCAACAACGGGUAACGAGGAAUUAGGGUUUGAUUUCGGAGAGGGAGCCUGAGAAACGGCUACCACAUCUACGGAUGGCAGCAGGCGCGCAAAUUACCCAAUGCAGACACUGUGAGGUAGUGACGAGAAAUAAUAAAGCGGGACUUCUGUUUCGCUAUUAUAAUGAGGAAUAACCAAAGGUCAUUCCGAUUAGCAACUGAUGGGAAAGUCUGGUGCCAGCAGCCGCGGUAAUACCAGCGU